GACUGUGGCCAUGCCACCCUGAACACGCCCGAUCCCAUCUGAUCUCAGAAGCUAAGCAGGGUCGGGCCUGGUUAGUACUUGGAUGGGAGACCACUUAGGAAGACCAGGUGCUGUAGGCA
rnacentral:rRNA from 1 species